UGCCUGUUGGAAAAAGUAAUUCAAAGUUGUAGUAAAUCAAAACUGAUUAGGAUUUGGUAUUUUAAAAUUCAUGUCUAGUUAGGAUUUAUAGUCAAAUUCACAUAGGAAUAGGUUUUCCUGUUUUGAGUUAAAAGUACAUUUCGUACUAUUAUAAAUAUGGUGCUACUAGCUAUUUUCACUUGGAAAUUUCAAAAAUAUACAGCCCAAUAUAAAAUAUUAUGCCUCCUAGCCCAUAAUUUUAUUUUAUACAAUAUCAUACAACAUUAUGGCUGGGGAAAGCAUUAUACAUAAUGUAUCAUGCAUGUAUAAAAGUGUAUAAAAGGUGUUUAUACACAAAUAUGGGCUAAACUGGAUAACAAACUCAAAAUAUGGGCUAAAUCGUGUAAAUAUUUUCUCUAAGUAGACAUAGAGCAUAAUUUUUUCCCAUUAUUUUCAUAACCAGAGAUAGUGUGGAGAUUGUAAAGGAGCAUUCAGAGAUUUAUGAGUUUAUGAUUGAAUAUUUUCAAAAAUAUACAGCUUUUGAAAAUAUUUACGCCACGUAGCUAAAUAUACAAUAUUAUACAACAUUAUACCUGUGGAGAAAGCAUUAUACAUAAUGUAUCAACAAAGUGUACAAUAGCGUAUAAAAGGUGUUCAUACACAAAUAUGAGCUAAAUCGGGUAACAAACUCAACGUAUGGGCUACGUGGUGUAAAUAUUUUAAAAAAUAGACAUAGAGCGUAAUUUUCCCUAUUAAUCCCUCUAUCCCAGUUUAAGUGUCUUACUUUUCUUUUUGGUCUAUCACAAAAAUAGCAUCUCUUUCUAUAUUUAGUAAGUUAACAAUUUGUACAUCCUGCAUGGCAACUUUAUAACCACAAGAUUCAAAUACGCAUUUUUAAUUUAGGACCAUAAGAUUCAGAAAUCUCUUUUUAUUUCUUAAACUUUGUGCCUAAGACACUUAAAUUGGGAUGGAGGAAGUAUUAUAAAUAGGGUGCUACUAGCUAUUUUCCUAACCAUGAAGAUUGUAAAUGAGCCUUAAGAGAUUUAUGAAUAAAAUAUUUUCCUUCCCUACCGGAGGCGGUGGUGAUGGCGGAGGCGAAGCAGCAACAUUGGGAGGAGAUUGGCCUUUGGCUUUAGCUUUAGCUUCAGCAAUUUCGUCUUCAGUUUCAGCCAAGAAGGCGACAGGAGCGCCAACAGGAGCAGUCUCGCCUUCAUUAACAACGAUAGCAGCGAGAAUGCCACCGUAGAAUGUCUCAA